CCUACGGGAGGCAGCAGUGAGGAAUAUUGGUCAAUGGCCGGAAGGCUGAACCAGCCAAGCCGCGUGAAGGACGAAGGUGCCAAGCAUUUUAAACUUCUUUUGUCAAGGGACAAAAUCAGGCUCGAGAGCCUGACCGAGUGUACUUGAAGAAAAAGCAUCGGCUAACUCCGUGCCAGCAGCCGCGGUAAUACGGAGGAUGCGAGCGUUAUCCGGAUUUAUUGGGUUUAAAGGGUGCGUAGGCGGACUGUUAAGUCAGCGGUAAAAGCCCGGGGCUCAACCCCGGCGAGCCGUUGAGACUGGCUGUCUUGAGAUGUCGAGAGGUAUGCGGAAUGCGCAGUGUAGCGGUGAAAUGCUUAGAUAUUGCGCAGAACUCCGAUUGCGAAGGCAGCAUACCGGCGGCGAUCUGACGCUGAGGCACGAAAGCGUGGGUAUCGAACAGGAUUAGAUACCCCAGUAGUC
rnacentral:rRNA from 1 species